rnacentral:tRNA from 1 species
GGAGGGAUACCGAAGUGGUCAAACGGGGCGGACUGUAAAUCCGUUGGCUUCGCCUUCGAAGGUUCGAAUCCUUCUCCCUCCACCA